rnacentral:tRNA from 1 species
UCCCAUGUUGUCUAGGGGUUAGGAUACCUGGCUCUCACCCAGGAGGCCCGGGUUCAAUUCCCGGUAUGGGAA